UACGUAGGGGGCUAGCGUUGUCCGGAAUCAUUGGGCGUAAAGCGCGUGUAGGCGGUCCGGUAAGUCCGCUGUGAAAGUCGGGGGCUCAACCCUCGGAUGCCGGUGGAUACUGUCGGGCUUGAGUACGGAAGAGGCGAGUGGAAUUCCUGGUGUAGCGGUGGAAUGCGCAGAUAUCAGGAGGAACACCAACGGCGAAGGCAGCUCGCUGGGACGGUACUGACGCUGAGGCGCGAAAGCGUGGGGAGCAAACAGG
rnacentral:rRNA from 1 species